rnacentral:lncRNA from 1 species
GAACUGAAGAGGAGAGGGACGGAGUAAAAAUGAAAUGUUCAAUAUGUUUAUGGCCGGCUGGAUCUCCACAGUGCUACCACUCAGCCAGGAGUAUUCUCAGAUAGAGAUUGAGAAAAAUGUUCUUGCAACGAUGGCUUUCAAGUUGAAAUUCAAGUUUUCCACAAAUCUUCGAUUUGAUAACGACAUAAUCUCGUGAUUUAGAAUCAGUCGAAUGUAUUCAUUUGUAAACAAAAUCUUUACUCUUUAAGAUAAGAACAUGCCAUCAGGUAUUAUCUAACUUAACUUAAAUAGUUAGAUUUGAUGUCAUGUCCAAACCUUAUAAAUUACAAUAGCAAUCUCUUAACUCUACAAGAUACAAUAUCAUACCUCUACAAGACAGAAUCUCAUAACUCUAAAAGACACAAUCUUUUAAAUUUACAAGAUACAAUCUCAUAACUCUACAAGACACCAUCUUAUAACUCUACAAGACAAAAUCUCAUAACUCUACAAGACAGCAUCUUAUAACUCUACAAGACACAAUCUCGUAACUCUACAAGACACCAUCGUAUAACUCUACAAGACACCGUCUCAUAAUUCUACAAAACACCGUCUUAUAACUCUACAAGACACCGUCUCAUAACUCUACAAGACACCGUCUCAUAACUACAAGACACCGUCUCAUAACUCUACAAAACACCCUCUCAUAACUUUACAAGACACCGUCUCAAGGCACAAUCUCUUAACAUUCCACGAGACACGAUAUAUUUUAAAAUUUCCUCUUUCUUUUAAAUACAUUGUACAUCAUGGUUCCAAACUUAAUUAAUCUGAAUUAACUUUCUUCUAAUAUCUGUUUCUGCCAAAAAAUGUAGAAUAACCAAUUUAUAAACAUUAAAGUACAGAACUUUAAAUAUAUGUAAUUUAAUACUAGUUUGUUUGUUUAAAGGGCUACAAUACAGACGUAGCUAGGUCGGGUAACUUAUCGAACACAUAACAUACUCUGGGGAAAAUAUAAAAUUAACACAUUGUUUUUUAAAUUUUCUGACUAGUGGCUAAUCUAUAUUUUCAUUAUUAUAAACAUAAAACAUUUGUAAUUAUAAAAAUAAUAUGUUCCAAGCUUAUUUAUUUGUAAGAGUAGAAAAUAAUUAAGUAAGAAAUGUGUAUUGAAUGUAUAAGCUAUUGUAUUAAGGGUCGCUAUGGUGUACAUACAUAUAUGCACUAAGUAUGCAUUAUAUUAACAAACAACAUAGUUAGACAGUUUAAAACUUGUAAAUAUUUUAAACUCGAAUAAAUUUAAAUAAUAUACUUUAUUGGGAGAUAAAAAUUACAAUGAACAUUUUUAUAAUCCACCCGCUACAAAAUCGUUAUUAUUGAACAAAAUAAUUUUUAAAUUUUGGGCUUUCAUCAAAUUGUUCGAAACUAAUCAAUUUAAAAUCUUUUAAUACCCCUGCAGUUAUUCCAGUUUGUUAUGUACAACAUACUUAAAUACAAACACCGGUUUUAAAAUACCCGCUGGUUGUGAAAUAUACUGUUCUUUUUUUCCAAAUAAGACACUGCCUCUGAUUCCUUUGAUAAAAGCAUAAGAAACAAAAAAGUUGUCAUUUAAUCAUUGCGUGACAUUUUUUAUCAUGUUUUAUACAAAAUGUUGAAUAAAGUAUUACAAAAUUA